rnacentral:lncRNA from 1 species
AACCGUAUGUAUGAUUUGCGAAACAAUGAAACUGCGAAGUUGUAAUUUACCUAUGGGCUACAGCUUUAAUCAUAUGCGUAUAAGAAAUUACUGAGUUGUGAUUUACCUAUGUCUCUGAAAUAAUUUUCAUAGACAAGGUCGACGAUUUGCCUGAACGAGAACCAAGGCAAAAUUUGCGACUUUUUUACUAUUUCUAUUGUGAUUGGCAUUCUCGAUCUCGCAAAGGGAUAAGGUAGAAUAUCCAGAUCAGAGGUCCCAUAAGAUCUGUGAUGUCAGCCAUGACGUUUCGCCAUUUAGCUCCAAUGCUCUCAACUUCGAUUCCUGCGCAUAUAUAGGGCUUCUUUGCAUCACUCCACAUACGAGAAAAAUCAAGAAAAAAUGGCAGAGGAAAUCAAGCUGCUUGGAACCUGGGCCAGUCUCUACAGCCGGAGAAUCGAACUAGUCCUCAAACUCAAAGGAUUACAGUUCCAAUACGUGGAAGAAGACCUCUCCAACAAGAGCGAUCUUCUCAUCAACUCCAACCCAGUUCACAAGAAGAUCCCUGUCUUCUUCCACAACGGCAAGCCGAUUUCAGAGUCGCUAAUCAUUAUACAGUACAUCGAUGAGACAUGGGAUCACACCCCAGUCCUCCUUCCUAAAGAUCCUUGCCAAAGAGCUACUUCUCGAUUCUGGGCGAAGUUCGUUGACGAAAAGGUAAACUGAGAUAAGCUAGCUAUUCUUCACCAUUCUGUUUUACUUUUAUAGCGUUUGGCAGGGGAGGGAAUCAGGUCAAUAGGUCAAAUCAGAAUUUCUCGUAAAAUCUGAAAAUUCGAAACACUAUAUUUUGCAAACCCAAAUCUAAUCAAAAUUCUAUUUAAUUAACAGGUUUUUG